GACGAACGCUGGCGGCGUGCUUAACACAUGCAAGUCGAGCGGUAAGGCCCUUUCGGGGGUACACGAGCGGCGAACGGGUAGAGUAACACGUGGGUGACCUGCCCUCAGCUCUGGGAUAAGCCUGGGAAACCGGGUCUAAUACUGGAUAUGACUCCAUGACGCAUGUUGUGGGGUGGAAAGCCUUGUGCGGCUGAGGAUGGGCCCGCGGCCUAUCAGCUUGUUGGUGGGGUGAGGCCUACCAAGGCGACGACGGGUAGCCGGCCUGA
rnacentral:rRNA from 1 species